rnacentral:tRNA from 1 species
GCCGGCGUAGCCUCAAUGGUAGAGGCGUUGGGCGUAAGCCCCAAUUGGUUGCGGGAUUGAAUCCCGCCGUCGGCA